rnacentral:lncRNA from 10 species
CCUGCCCAUUCUAUUUAAACUAGCACUCUGGUUACUCUCUAUUGUGUUACCCUGCCUUAUUUUCUUUUGUAGCACUAACACUAGCUAACAUGGCAAGUUUUUACAUAUUUCUUAUAUAGACCUCAUCUGUUGUAUCCACUGCUACAUCUCCAGUGCCUAGAACAGUGCCUGAAACAUCAUGAUAAUUAAAUGAAGAUUUGUGAUGGAGUAAACUGGAUACAUGUCCCAGGCAACAUGAAAAUAUUCUAAAUAUAAGAUACUUAUAAUCUCUAGGUCAGAGACUUGGGAGGUGCCUCUGUGAAAAAUAGUAUUCAAUGGGGAGACGAGGAGGCUGACAGAAAACAAGAGAGAAGUGGAGCAACCAGAACCUGCAAAAAAGAAGGAUGCUGAGAUUUGCUAAAAGGGAGAAAUACGGUGCUUACAGAUCUCUGCCUGAAUAUCUCCAGAGCUCUGCUCUUCAACUUUGUUGGAUAAAUUUUGGUGACUAUUGUGAGUAUUUGUUUGCUGCCUCCCUUCAUUGAAGGUAGCAUUUGAACGCAUCAGAGUCCUCAUGGCAACAGUUCAUAGACAUAUUCUACAUAAUGCUCCCCAGUGGGUACUUCCUCAAGAAAGCCAUCCAUGAUCCUUAUCCCCUACCCAACCAAGACCAGGUUGGAUUGUACUAUUACUCUCAAAUAGUCUAUGUGCCAUAAUUAUAUACAUACAGAAAAUUAUGUAUAUGUAUAAAAUUAUGUAUACGUAAAAUUAUGUAUUCUAUAAAAUAUAGGGUGCUAUAUACACAUAUAUACCUAUAUGCAUAUAUAUGUUUCAAUAUGUACACAUAUGCAUAUAUGUUCAAAUAUGUACACAUA